CUCCACAAAUCUUCGGUGGAUCCACUGGGUUUUCAGUUUCUUCAAGGAGUAA
rnacentral:antisense_RNA from 1 species